rnacentral:lncRNA from 1 species
CGGAUGAGUGACGUCAUCAACACAGCGACGGAAGUCACAUCCUGGAAACACCUCCCCUGAUACUCGAGAAUGGCAGAGACUGGAGGACUCCACAAAUGCUGAAUUGAACAAAGGGAAAAAUAUCAGCUUAUCCCACCUUCUGCUCAUCUCAUUGUGAGUGAAAAUCCAGAGGAAGAUAGAUGCCUGCUAAGGUAUUGACAUUACAAUCAUGGAAUCACAGGUGAGUAGGGAAUUCUUGUUUAACUGAAAUUCCACCUCUGUUGCCAGCAGAUGAGAAGAUUUCUCCUAUUGGUGUGGAUAUUCCAAGUGUAUUCAGGAGAUAUUCAAGGAUCUGAGCU